AUAACAUUGGCCGUAAAAGGGAUAAGAAGAGAAGACAGAGCAGCAGCAUUGCCAGCUCUUUGUCUGGCACCUCAUCUACCAGAUAAACUUGCAGACAAGUCCGCUACACAGAGUGACUCCAAAGAAAUACGGAGCUGAAUUUCUCUGCAUCCCUGGUGGCACUGCUUCUGGGCUGAUGAACAGUGUACAGUGAGAAGAAAGCAGCUGAAACCCCAUGUCUGUUUUUUUUAAUGACCUCGCGGUAACUUGGAGUGCAUUACUGUUUUUACUGCUCAAGCACUGACGUGUGUGACAGCUGUCUCUGUGCUGCUGGCACUGUGGAGCAGCCUCUCUCCAAGAGAAAAUCCAUCUGUGCCAGAAACCAGGUUCUGGUAGGGGCUCAUUCCAGAUGAAGUACAUCACUGGAAUGCUUCUCUACUCUUCUGCCACAAAAAGAAGAGCUUCCUGAGCUUGCCUUGACAGUGUUCCUCAAGAUGGUCAGAGAAGGACAAAGUCAUCAGAGCCACCAGGACUGUAUGCAGUAAUACACCUCAAAAAUAAAAUGGGUUGUGCAGAAAAAGAUGAAGAAUCCUCACCAUUUCAUAGAACCGUGAAAGAAGUCAGCUUCCCCUGACUAUGGGAGAAAACAAGCAAGUCCAUUUAAAUUAAUUCAGCUUAUGAUUCUUCUUUUAACCAACAAUGAAUUGUUGGUCAUCAAGUAUUUAAGAGCCGAUGGGAAAUUUAAAAUAGCACUGAGAAUACAAUGGGAUGAAGGGGUGAAAGCUGAUAUUCUAUAUAAGACCAGUUAUUCUUAUAUGGAACAUGACUUUGUUUGGAGUAUUUACCACAAUUUGGGUGUGACUGCAAAUUCUCAUUGUUGUGGCAGGGUCAUCCCAUGCAAUGAACUCCAACAGGUGGUGAGUGCUGAACAAUACAAGGUGAGUGAGAGGUACCGGCUGCCUCAGGUGGCACGUUAAAAACAGUAAACUCAGAAGAAAUACUGAGCCAGAGAAGAAAAAGGCUGCAAAAUAACAAAGAAAACUCACAGUUGACCUUAGAAUUGCAAAAUUGUAUGUUGUGUUUCAUAUAUUAGAGGUGUUUUGUGUUAGUGGGGAUUUUCAACCACCCAAGGUCAGUUUUGGGGGCACUUCCACUUAUCCUAUGUCUGUAAUUUGAUGACUCUGUAUGUGUAUAGUGAAUGUGUAGCACCUACAUAGUUUUUAAAAAAGAUUCAUCAUUUUUUACCUGCUUAUGAGAUUUCCUAGGAAACAAUGCCCAGAGCUGCAUGGGUUUUAUAAACAACUUCUGGUUGUAUUUCAAACUCCUUUAUACCGAUAAAUUAAAUCUCUUAUAAAGUGAUUGUCUAAUUAAAGAUCUACUUUUAUCAAUUGUGCUUUAGUAUAUACUUGAGCUUUCAGAAUUAUGGUUAAGCACUUGAAUUUUAAAACUCAUGGAUUAUUGCAUUGAACACCAGGGGUCAAAGCAGUAAUACCACCAUUAACUCUACUUGUCUCUCGUAUUGUCAAUAAGCACUAUUUUAGGUCCUCAUUUAAAUUAGCCACUUCUUCUAAACUAGAGAUUACUCCUCCUGUGGCUUCUUCUAAGGGACUGGAAGCUCAAAGGAGAGUGUGCUUAAAACACCUAAUUUUUUGAGUGGUCAUUAGCAGUAACCAUUGGAAGAUUAUUGAUUUCCUCGCAGUCUGGAAAUGUAUGGAGUGCUGUAUAAUUACAAGUGUCUUUGAAUAAUGGAAUGUGUAUGAUUUGAUGUUGUAGCAUGACUAUUUAGUUGCAUUUUUAAUAAGGUGGAUACAGCUUACGGGUGGUUUUGUAUGGAACACAGAGAACAAAGGGCUGAGUUGGAGCUGAUACCUGUUUGUAAGAACAGUGAUGCCUAUUCCUACCACUACAAAUAGUUUGCGGACUCCCAAGGAGGUGCAGAGGAAAAGAGACUUCUUCGGCAUCCUUGAGGCAGCCAGCUAGUAUCAUCUUCAGGAAUUUGCUGGAUCAGAUGAAGAUACCAACAUGUUUAGUGAUUGUUGGAUGGACUUCGGUGGCAUGACCUUGUUGGUCCACUGGGCAGCUGUCACAGCCUCUAUUGGAAAGAAGUGCCACAGGUUUCCCACCUGGCAUGUGAAGAACAACUUUUUUUUUGUUUUUUGACCUCACUUUUUUUUUUUGCUCUAUGCCCCUAAAUUUUGCUGGAGAAGAUGGUAAAGAGUCUUUCUGUACAUAUCACUCGUGAUUUGUAGACCACUACUGAGGUAGCUUUAUCUCCCUCUUUCUCACUAGUAACUGCUCUCUGCCUCCUUCCACUUUCUCUCUCCAGAAAAACACUGUUGCCUUUUAAAGGCACUAAUGAAACUGUGUUGAGCCCGGAAAUUAUAACUGAUUGCAAGUGGAACUUGCCAGUUUUAGGAAGGGCUUCAAUUUGUUUGGAUUUGGCUCUUCUGACUGCUGAUACCGCUUCAAACACAAAUGAAUCAUAACUAAUGGUAAAAAGGAGGAACUCUUGGAUGGGAGGGCAACAAGAGGAAAGCAAGUUCAAUUGUAAGAUGCAAGAGUGGAAUAUAUUGUUUCACAGAAUAAGUGCAACAGAGAUAUUCCAAAAAGUACAUAUGGUCCAGCUCCCAGAUGAACUUGUGCUGUUAGGUAAUUCUUAGAUAUAGGACAUCUGUCAGGUGAAGCUGUGAGGUUGCAAUAAUACUUCUGUUGCUGAAGCUAUUACCGUCUUAAUAUACAAAUCUUGCCAAGUCCAUCUGAAUAUGAAACAUACUUAAAAAAUGAGUUCUAUGCAAAGGAACUCUGCCUAAAAUAGGCUAUUUGCAAACAGAAAUAGCUGAAGUUAAUGUGAGAGAAAAUCCUGUCGUAAAUUUCACGUUUCUUAACUUCUCUUUUUAAAGUCCCCAGAGCAUGUUUUUACACCAUAGGGUUGUUAUUUUUAAUAGAAAACUGUUCUGGUGGAUAGUGGAACUGUACUUUAGUUUCUCACCACUGUUUCUGGAGAAGGGAUACUGACAGUGUUUGGAAAGUGCUUUGAUACCCUCACAAAGAUGUCAUGUAAUUGCAAAAAAAAGUCAGUUGAAAUAUAUGUCUAGACAAAUCUCUGCUUCCAUAUGCAUGACAUUUGAUUCCUAGUUUGUAAACACUUAUUUAUUUUUUUUUUGUGCAUGGAUUGUUAGCUUUUUUUCCUUGUUAAAAACUACAUAUAACUAUAAAUUUCAGUUUCUUGUAGCUGUAAUUACUGCAUUUUUCUUGUGGACUGAAUAGAUAAGGUAGAAGCUAUUGAUUCUGUUUUUCAAGUAUUCUGCCCAUGUUAGGAAUUCAUCACCUUGAUGCAGCCAGUUUAUUAUCCUUGCUAUGUAUAAAUACUUUCUACAGCUACCAGUGACUGUACCAUACUGUAGUCCUUAAAUUCAGUGUCUGCAGCUCAGAGCGUGGAUAUCUUUGUUGCAUCAGAAGCAUUUUAUAGUGACUAAAACUUCAUGACAUGUCAGGAACAAGAGAAAAGUAAUUAAAUAAAUGAAAUGUCAAUUGUUGUUUUAGACAGAAAAUCAAUUCUUUUUGCAGGAAAACUCUUCCAAAUUUGGGCCUUCGCAGUAUUAGGUAAUUAUCAGUCUUGUGAUCCUAAUUUAGACCAUUGCUUCAGGAAAGUCAAUAGGUCAAAAUUAGCUACUCAAUUCAUUGAUGUGGAAGAAAGCCAUUCAUUUUUAUCACGACCCUAGCAGGAACUGCACAGUCAGAGGCUAUUAUAGAUGGGAAUUUGGUCUGUAUGUUGAAGCCAGAUUAAGCUGGGAAGACAUAAAGAAAAUAAAUGUUUUUUUGCUUUGCUGUCUGUCCUACGUCUUGUAAUCUCCUUAGUACUUAUCGGUGUGUAUUACCAUAGAGCUGAGUGCCAUUUUGAGGAGUAUUUGCAGAGACUAGAAGCACUGAGAAUAAGAUAUCAGUAAGUGUUUCAAAAAGUAAUCACACAUUG